AACCCAGCUCACUCGGAGUAUAUACAUUGACGAGU
rnacentral:snoRNA from 1 species